rnacentral:SRP_RNA from 1 species
GUCAGGUGUGGUGGUGCAUGCCUGUAUUCCCAGCUACUCAGGAGGCUGAGGCAGAAGAAUCGCUUGAACCCAGGAGGUGGAGUUUGCAGUGAGCGGAGAUAGCGCCACUGCACUCCAGCCUGGGUGACAGAGCGAGACUCUGUCUCAA